AUGGCUUCAGGAGGUGCAGCCGCUCUCACUCUGAAGCUGGCCGUCGUCGCCGCCGUUCUCGCCCUGCUGGUCAUACCUUCCUUAGGACGCUGUCCGUCCCGUGGUCCGGCACCACCACCGCCAACGCACGCGCCGCCGUCACCGCUGGAGGCGAUACCACCAUCACCACCGGCGCAGGCGCCGCCGCCACCACUAGAGGCGAUACCGCCAGCCCCCGCGCCGGGUCCACCUCUCACAUGUGAUAUCUGUAACAUAGAGUGCUUCUCGGAUUGCAUGUACUCAUACCGUGAUACCAGCGGCAUGACCUGCGAUGAGACAUGCGGCAACGAAAAGAGCCGCUGCGACCAGUGCGUCACCCCCGAGAUGGAGGAGUGCAGGGCCACCUGCACCGGCAGCUGUGACUGCUUCGCCCUCGCCGAAGCCCCCGAGUCGUGCCGCGACGACUGCUUCUCACAUGCAUGCCAACUCUCCUGGUCCAGACGUGACAAGUAUUGCCAGUACGAGUGCAACAACGACUACUGCUUCGGGAACCACUGCUAUGGACCAUAG
rnacentral:rRNA from 1 species